rnacentral:rRNA from 1 species
CGGCCGCGUCGACCGCGAAGAACCUUACCAAGGCUUGACAUAUACUGGACCGCAUCAGAGAUGGUGUUUCCCUCCGGGGCUGGUAUACAGGUGGUGCAUGGUUGUCGUCAGCUCGUGUCGUGAGAUGUUGGGUUAAGUCCCGCAACGAGCGCAACCCUCGUUCUAUGUUGCCAGCACGUUAUGGUGGGGACUCAUAGGAGACUGCCGGGGUCAACUCGGAGGAAGGUGGGGAUGACGUCAAAUCAUCAUGCCCCUUAUGUCUUGGGCGUCGACGCGGCCG